rnacentral:rRNA from 1 species
CAGAAUGAACGCUGGCGGCGUGCUUAACACAUGCAAGUCGAACGGUAACAGAGAGUAGCUUGCUACUUUGCUGACGAGUGGCGCACGGGUGAGUAAUAUAUAGAUAAUGUGCCCCUUGGACCGGGAUAGCCAUUGGAAACGAUGAUUAAUACCGGAUACUCCUUCUUACCAAAAGGUAAGUUGGGAAAUGGAUUCCGCCAAGGGAUCGGUCUAUAUCCCAUCAGCUAGUUGGUAGUGUAAGAGACUACCAAGGCGAUGACGGGUAGCGGGUUUGAGAGGAUGAUCCGCCACACUGGUACUGAGACACGGACCAGACUCCUACGGGAGGCAGCAGUGAGGAAUAUUGCACAAUGGGGGAAACCCUGAUGCAGCAACGCCGCGUGGAGGAUGACGCAUUUCGGUGUGUAAACUCCUUUUAUAUGUCAAGAAAAUGACGGUAGCAUAUGAAUAAGCACCGGCUAACUCCGUGCCAGCAGCCGCGGUAAUACGGAGG